UACGAAGGGGGCUAGCGUUGCUCGGAUUGACUGGGCGUAAAGGGCGCGUAGGCGGCUUACACAGUCAGACGUGGAAUUCCUGGGCUCAACCUGGGGGCUGCGUUUGAUACAUGUAGGCUUGAGUUCGGAAGAGGGUCGUGGAAUUCCCAGUGUAGAGGUGAAAUUCGUAGAUAUUGGGAAGAACACCGGUGGCGAAGGCGGCGACCUGGUCCGAUACUGACGCUGAGGCGCGAAAGCGUGGGGAGCAAACAGG
rnacentral:rRNA from 1 species